rnacentral:tRNA from 1 species
GGCCUCGUAGCUCAGCUGGUGGAGUGUGCGCUGAAUAAUAGCGUAGGCGGUAUCUAUGCAUGGGUUCGAAUCCCACCGUAGCCA